GCAAUGGUGUCUUUAGACACCACCAACCUUCUGUGAAGUUAUUUCU
rfam:Picea glauca, whole genome shotgun sequence.